rnacentral:rRNA from 1 species
GAUGAACGCUGGCGACGUGCCUAAUACAUGCAAGUCGAGCGAACAGACGAGGAGCUUGCUCCUCUGACGUUAGCGGCGGACGGGUGAGUAACACGUGGAUAACCUACCUAUAAGACUGGGAUAACUUCGGGAAACCGGAGCUAAUACCGGAUAAUAUAUUGAACCGCAUGGUUCAAUAGUGAAAGACGGUUUUGCUGUCACUUAUAGAUGGAUCCGCGCCGCAUUAGCUAGUUGGUAAGGUAACGGCUUACCAAGGCAACGAUGCGUAGCCGACCUGAGAGGGUGAUAGGCGACACUGGAACUGAGACACGGUCCAGACUCCUAAGGGAGGCAGCAGUAGGGAAUCUUCCGCAAUGGGCGAAAGCUUGACGGAGCAACGCCGCGUGAGUGAUGAAGGUCUUCGGAGCGUAAAACUCUGUUAUUAGGGAAGAACAAAUGUGUAAGUAACUAUGCACGUCGUGACGGUACCUAAUCAGAAAGCCACGGCUAACUACGUG